rnacentral:sRNA from 1 species
UUAACAGCCCUGAAGAAUGAAGAGCUCUGUCUAUCCUCAGAACAGGCACUCCCCUCCCUCCCCUCUCGCCCCCCCGGUUGCAGCGGGGCAAGCUUCCUUCAGACAGCUCCAUCAAGGUACCUCAACCCUGACGUUGGAGGGCUCACCUGUAAGGGUGAGACGGAACUCCAGUCUCCAUUGUCCAUUAAGUCCUUGGUCUCU